rnacentral:snRNA from 1 species
UUGCUUUAGCAGCACAUAUACUUAAGUUGAAACAACACAGAGAAGAUUCUCAUGGCCCUGCAGAUGGAUGACAUGCAGAUCGUAAAGUGUUCCAUAUUUAU